rnacentral:rRNA from 1 species
UUCGCAAUGCCCGAAAGGGUGAACGAGCGACGCCGCGUGCGGGAUGAAGGCCUUCGGGUCGUAAACCACUGUCAUUGGGAAAGAAGGCCGGAAUGGCGAAUUCCGGAGAGACGGUACCCAAGAAGGAAGCCCCGGCUAACUCCGUGCCAGCAGCCGCGGUAAUACGGAGGGGGCAAGCGUUGUUCGGAUUUACUGGGCGUAAAGGGUGUGUAGGCGGUUGCGUCAGUCUGGUGUGAAAUCUUCACCGCUCAACGGGAAGGAGCCACUGGAAACUGCGCAACUCGAGUGUGGUAGAGGCUAGCGGAAUUCCUGGUGUAGCGGUGGAAUGUGUAGAUAUUAGAAGGAACAUCAGUGGCGAAGGCGAUUUGCUGGGCCAUCACUGACAGUCAUGCACGAAAGCGUGGGGAGCAAAUAGGAUUAGAUACCCUAGUAGUCCACGCCGUAAACGAUGGGCACUAAGUAGAGGGGUUUU